rnacentral:rRNA from 1 species
UACAUAGGGUGCAAGCGUUGUCCGGAAUUAUUGGGCGUAAAGAGCUCGUAGGCGGUUUGUCGCGUCUGCUGUGAAAACCCGAGGCUCAACCUCGGGCCUGCAGUGGGUACGGGCAGACUAGAGUGCGGUAGGGGAGAUUGGAAUUCCUGGUGUAGCGGUGGAAUGCGCAGAUAUCAGGAGGAACACCAAUGGCGAAGGCAGAUCUCUGGGCCGUAACUGACGCUGAGGAGCGAAAGCAUGGGGAGCGAACAGG